AAGGAUUUAGGUUAAGUAAACCUUUAACCUUCAAAGUUAAAAAUAGAGAAGAUUCUUUAAGCCUUA
rnacentral:tRNA from 1 species